AGAGUUUGAUCAUGGCUCAGAACGAACGCUGGCGGCGUGCCUAACACAUGCAAGUCGAACGAGAAAUUCCGACUUCGGUUGGAAGAGUACAGUGGCGCACGGGUGAGUAACGCGUGGGUAACCUGCCCCUGAAUCUGGGAUAACUCCGUGAAAACGGUGCUAAUACCGGGUAUUGUCCCCUUAACUGUGGUUUUUGGGAUGAAAGGUGACCUCUUCAUGAAAGUUGCCGUUCGGGGAUGGGCUCGCGUACCAUUAGCUUGUUGGUAGGGUAAAGGCCUACCAAGGCAACGAUGGUUAGCUGGUCUGAGAGGAUGAUCAGCCACACUGGAACUGAAACACGGUCCAGACUCCUACGGGAGGCAGCAGUGAGGAAUUUUGCGCAAUGGGGGAAACCCUGACGCAGCAACGCCGCGUGAGUGAAGAAGGCUUUCGAGUCGUAAAGCUCUGUCAAGUGGGAAAAAAUGCUUUCGAUUAAUAGUCGAAGGAACUGAUGGUACCACUAAAGGAAGCACCGGCUAACUCCGUGCCAGCAGCCGCGGUAAUACGGAGGGUGCUAGCGUUGUUCGGAAUUACUGGGCGUAAAGGGCGUGUAGGCGGUUUAGCAAGUCAGAUGUGAAAGCCCUGGGCUCAACCCGGGAAGUGCAUUUGAAACUGCUAGACUAGAGUAUGGGAGAGGAGAGUGGAAUUCCCAGUGUAGAGGUGAAAUUCGUAGAUAUUGGGAGGAACACCCGUGGCGAAGGCGACUCUCUGGACCAAUACUGACGCUGAGACGCGAAAGCGUGGGGAGCAAACAGGAUUAGAUACCCUGGUAGUCCACGCUGUAAACGAUGAGAACUAGGUGUAGCGGGUAUUGACCCCUGCUGUGCCGAAGUUAACGCAUUAAGCGCCCCGCCUGGGGAGUACGGCCGCAAGGCUAAAACUCAAAGGAAUUGACGG
rnacentral:rRNA from 1 species